GUGUAUUUCCGAAGGCUUUGCGGCCGUCGGUAAAUGUGAUUUACCGAGGGUCAAAAAGUGAAUCACCGACGGCCUUAAUGAAAUAACGUUACCGAAGGUCAAGAAGACCUUAGCGAGGGCUCUGUGGCCUUCGGUAAGAGCGUCCACCAAUUAAACUCAGUAAUUGGAGUUAUUCGUGCAGCUCGUCCCCAAUUUCAUCAAACAGAACCCUCCCUCCCCUCUGUUGAGAACUACUGAAAAUUUGGUUGUACUCCCUUUGCCUUCCUUUUGGCUUGCUAUCGUUAAUUCUCUUCAUAUCCCUCUACCUAUCUCUUCUGUUCGGUGGCAUUGUGUGCCUAGGGUUCGUCGUGCCGUUGUGGGUGUUGCGGGUGGGGUGGUGGUUCUUGGUUGUGCGUGUAAGGGUUGUGCGACGGGUAGGGUGGUGAUUCGUGGUCAUUAGCGUGAGGAGGUCCUUGCAGUGAAGCCCAAGGUUGGCUGUUCGGUUGAGAGCUCCCGGUGUUGCUUGGCUUCCAUUGAAUUGGGUGUUCUGGAGUGCGAGAACCGUAGAAACGUUCCCUGAGACGUGAGCGUCAUUCUAGACCGAACAGAAUUCGGAUCUGAGCUGAUUAAGUGAAAGUUGUUGAGUGAAUCUGAGGAUAGAACGCUGUAAGAAGACGAACUAAACCCUUACAUUUGGACGUACACUGCUAUCCAGGUAAGGGAAACUUAUUAAUUUAAUUUAUACUUGGAUGUUGUGUGCAAACAUGAUAUGAACUGAAUGUAUGAGAUGUAUGUUGUUUUAGUAUGCCUGAACGAUCGCUGUUAUGCAUGAAUGAAUAUGGUAUGUGUUGGUUGAUACGUAUGAAUUGGAAAAUGGAUGAUUAUUGUAUAGUAUGAGUUCUAAUAUGAAUUCUAUAAAGUAUGUGAAUUAAAUGAUGAAUAUGAAAUUAUAAGAUUAUGAAUCGUAUGAGAAAUGUUGAGUUAGAAUAGAUGAAAAAUCUGAAUAUGAUAAUCCUUACUAUGAUAAAAUACGUUCGUCAUCGUACGGUCUUAUACCGUUCGGUUUCUAAUCAAUUGCUUAAAAAGGAAUUCUUUCAUUUGGAAAGAGUUCCGAUCGAGAACGAGCGUCCCGUGAAAUACUAUGUUGAGCGUUCGGCUCAGCCUAGUGGUAAUCUUGUAAUUUAAAAUUAAGUUAUAAUGCA